ensembl:snRNA U6 U6 spliceosomal RNA
AUGCUUGCUUAGGCAGCACAUGUACUAAAAUUGAAACAAUACAGAGAAGAUUAGCAUGACCUCUGCACAAGGAUGACAAGCAAAUUGGUGAAGCAUUCUGUAUUUUU